UCAUACAUAGACUGUAGAAACACCUGAAGCUAUUGAUCUCUACUUUGUUGUAACCGAUCUUUAUGGAAAGUGCACGAAAAUGUGUAUGCUGUGAUCGCACGAUUGGUGACAUCAGUAACUUGAGGUGUUUCUACAGGCUACUUAUGC
rfam:Physcomitrella patens subsp. patens PHYPAscaffold_2 genomic scaffold, whole genome shotgun sequence.